GUUGAACGCUAGCGGCAGGCCUAAUACAUGCAAGUCGAACGGGAUCCAGAUCAAUGCUCGUGGUGGCUUGGUGAGAGUGGUGCAUGGGUCCGUAACGUCUGAGCAAUCUACCCUUGUCAGGGGCAUAGCCCGGCGAAAGUCCGACUUAUAUCGUAUGACAUCAUUUAGAGGCAUCUCUCGAUGCACACAGACUUAUCGGACAAGGUUGGGCUCGCGUGACAUUAGCUAGUUGGUAAGGUAACGGCUUACCAAGGCUACGAUAUCUAGGGGAUCUGAGAGGAGGAUACACCACACUGGUACUGAGGCACGGACCAGACUGCGACGGAGGGGAGCAGUAAGGAAUAUUGGUGAAUGGACGGAAGUCUAAACCAGCCAUGCCUGGUACAAGAGGACGGGCAUAUGGGUUGUAAACUGCUUUUGUGCGAGGGCAAUCAUCGAUACGUGUACCGGUCUGAGUUUACCGUAAGAAUAAGGACCGGCUAACUCCGUG
rnacentral:rRNA from 1 species